ACAAGUUUUCUCGGUGUUUCUUUGUCUACACUUGGGAUAAAAAGCGAUGAUGAGGCCAUUGCAUUUUUCUCGAAUGUAGACAAAGCAAAACCGUGAUGACGUCAA
rnacentral:pre_miRNA from 10 species